GGUUCUUGUUUUGUGAGUUGUGUACGCAUGAUCACUCCGCAUAAGCUUUUCCGUUGGCAGAAUAGGAGAGAAGGAGGGGCCAGAAAAGUAGUUCUCCGAGGACAGAACUGCGGGGGGAAGUCCGAAUGUGAAGUCUGUCUCUCUCUUGGUUCGUAGAGAGUAGUCAGUUUCCUGAUCGCAGCUGGUAAUUCCUCAAAAACCGUGUGUGGAGGCAAUGUUGGGAAGCCCAUCGUUAAGGCUCCGGGGCUUGAUUCCUGGUUAGCAGCACUGCAACCAGGAAAAUACGGUAUUUGUGUAUAGCUAUGGUUAUGUCAAAAAGCAAAGGCAGUGCAGGAAAGACACAAGGCGAAAAAGCAGAUGGGCUUCCUACAAAGCUCAGGCAGGACACUCAAUUUUAACUCACAUGUCACGCGGCAGCCAGUGAAGCUAAAAUGUUCUCACUCAUUUCACCCUUUAACUUCAGAACCUACAAGUACUGCAGGUCAUGCUUACCAAUGCAGUACAGGAAGAGCCAGGCAAGCACAGAACAAUGCUUCUUUACUAAGGUGAUGAUCUGGAUGAGCCCAUUCAUAAAGAAACAUGGUUCCCAUUGGGUUUUACUGUUUUCAGGCCUUCCAUAAUAAAUUAUCAUUUGCAGCACCA